CAGAAAGUAGUUUAAUUCGAAAAAAUGCCAGCUUUGGGAGCUGGUGAUAGAGGUGUAAGUUCUCUCUUUCUGA
rnacentral:tRNA from 1 species